rnacentral:sRNA from 1 species
UUAGGAUUUUGUGUAACUUAGUACUCUUUAAAUACUUUAUUAAGUAGAUAACUUCGCAUUCAAAGGGAAAACACUGCCAGCUCAACGAAUUCGCUCUGGAACCUGGCUAAGGAAAUGGUAAUUCGACUGGCUGUCAAUUCCUAAUGGAGAUGUCAGGUUCCACUUAAAGGUGUGAGAAUAUCUAUGGACCUCGGUGAACUGGACCCACCAGGACGUAUACAAGAUGUACGAAGAAAGCCAGGCGUAAGACAAAAAGUUAUUGUAUUAAAUGUAUGCAGAGAUACCAAAAAGGCAGAGGACAAAGGUCAACGAAAAUGUAGAGGAUAUCGGUGUCGGACACUUGAUUAGCCGUGACCUAAUGUUGCACUACACACAAUGGGCCAUGAUGAGCACGGGUUUUCUCCCGUGCAGCAGUGUCAAUUGGAAUUAGUUGCGCUACCAAUCGCUACCACGCACAUAUGUACAUACGUAGAUGUUCAGGGGCGGCACAAGAACAGUACUAAAGUUAACAUUUUUAUUGUAAUAAUCUGAAAACAACAGUGUCCAAACAUGUAUCGAAGAAUAGUGACAUUUCCUAAAGGUAGCCGCCAAAUCCAGUAUAAUAACCACUAUACUGCGAGUAUUAUUUCAGCUGCAACUGUAUAUAUGUAUCGAAAGGCACCGCACACUGCAUCCGAGGAAAAGAAAAAAACCGAUGAUGAGUUUGGAUGGCAAGGCAAAUGAAUUUUUUACACUUUGCUACUUGCAGCGGGGGCGAUCACAAAUUUACUGAACCAUUCGCAAAUUGAUUUCGCUUUGCCCAAAUGUGUCAACCGAACAAUAAAUGGCUUCUUCUUAG